AUGGCCGAAUGCUUCAAUAGGGUGCUCAAAGGUGCACGUGGAUUACCCGUGACGGCAAUAGUUCAAUACACAUUUGACAAGAUGAAUGCGUACUUUGUAAAGUACUCGAUGGAAACCGAUGCACAGAUAGCGGGUGAGAACCCACGGAAGUACAAGUACAAGUUCCCACCCAAAGUUGAUGAAUGGUUGCUAUUUCAAUCACGGAAGGCGGACUCAGAAGAAGCUAUAUUAUAUGACAAUGAGGAGUGGAAGUACGAAGUGAAAGAGCCAGGAGGAACCACAAACGAUGGCCGGCAACAUGGAGGUCGGGCUUUCAAGGUGUCGUUAACACAAUGUGAUUGCACUUGCGGGAGGCCAUUAUUGCUUCAUCUCCCAUGCUCACAUUUGUAUGCCGCCGGCCGCGUUAGGAAUGUGGACAUCAAUCACCCACGCACCGUGAGGGAGUCCCAGUUCUCAAUCAUGACGGUCAAGAAAACAUGGGCUCCCCGCUUUCAUCCAUACUUUGACCAAUCACAAUGGCCGGAGUAUCAUGGAGUUCAACUAUGGCCGGAUCCG
rnacentral:rRNA from 1 species